GCGUUUGGUCGAAAUUGGAUUUCAUUCGUAAUUUGACCGAGAACGGUUUGUGUCUGGCGUAAAAUUAUUACUGUUGUUGCUACGAUUUCCAUUUUAGAAAGAAAAUAGUUUAAAGUGAAUCUAAAGUUAGAGUAGUUCUGCAAGUUUACUGAAAGCAGUUGUAAUCAAUUAAUUUUCAGUACUUGGUACAUACACAAAUUUAUCGAUUUGUGUCAGCAAACACAUCGGAUCAGACGACGAAUUCACUAGUAUUGUGUCAGCCAACAUGGCGGACGACGAGCAAUUCUCGCUCUGUUGGAAUAAUUUCAACAGUAAUUUGUCGGCUGGUUUUCAUGAAUCGCUUUGCCGCGGUGAUCUGGUGGACGUGACGCUAGCGGCGGAAGGGCAAUUUGUCAAAGCGCACCGUUUAGUUUUGUCUGUAUGCUCACCCUAUUUUCGCAAGAUGUUCACACAAAUGCCGGCCAAUCAACAUGCUUUCGUUUUUCUCAAGGAUGUGUCUCAUACAGCAUUGAAAGAUCUUAUACAAUUUAUGUACUGUGGAGAAGUAAACGUAAAGCAAGAAGCUUUACCAGCGUUUAUUAGUACAGCAGAAGCUCUUCAAAUAAAAGGCUUAACCGAUAGCGAUCCUCCACCAUCGCAAUCGCCAGCAGAACCUUCCACACCGUCACCUCAAAUUCAACAGAUAUCUUCGCCUCGCGUCCGCCAACGAACAUCAACUUCUCGUUCGUUUAAAAUAGAGUCUGUUGAUGAUUCUGGAGAUGAUAAGCAAACUCAGAUUGUCAUACAAACCACGGCGGCUCCUGCAGCGCAGCAAGUCGUUGCUCAACCGCAAACACAACAUUUGCAGACUCAAAGUCAAACCCAUAUAGCACCUCAACAAAUCGCAACCACCACCACCGCCACUACUACAACCGUUGUUACGCAUAAACGACCAGCGCGAAGUAUUGGAAGUGGGCCCCACAUUAAACGCACCAAAAGUACAAUUGAUCCGCUAGAUACAACUGAUGUGUCGACCGGAUCCCAACAAAUAACUGUGCAAACAGCUGUUGUUGCUGCCCCUGCGCCUGAGACUAAAACACAAGUACAGCAACAACAAAGUGAGCCGGAAUAUAUAGACUUGCCAAUAGAGUUGCCUACGAAAUCAGAACCAGACUAUGCAGAAGAUGCUGGUGAUGUAGAUGGAGGCGAAAAUGAAACCACUUAUGUAGAAGAUGAUUCUUAUGGAGAGCUUAGGUAUGACGAAAGCUAUUUUACCGAAAAUGACGAUACACCUGCAGGUGCGACGACGGUACAAACUGGAACAGGUUCAGGUGGUGGUGUAAAUGCAACAACAUCAAAAGCUUUGGUGAAACAGCAACAAUCGUCAUUCACCGAUGCCUCAUAUGUGGAUGUGGCGGACCAAGGAAACAGUGACGCACAAGGCAAAAAAUCCAAAACAUUGCCGCUCUCUGCGCUAGCAUCAUUUGGCAAUACCAAGAAGAAGCGUAAAAAGUUGAUUAUUAACUCAUUCGAAUUUGUUAUCGAUCGAAUGCUGAAGCAGAGUACCAAUUGGCGUUGUGCCCGGUAUAAAAGUGCUAAAUGUAAGGCACGAGCAACAACACGAGUGGUAAACGGUGUAGAACGUUACGUCUUAAGAAAUGGCGAACAUUCGCACGAGUAAAUCGAUGUUUGACAGCUAAUUGGUUUUUCUCCGAAAAAAAUAUUAAAGGAUAUUGUAUUCACAGAGACCAUAAUCCUAAUUGAUCCAUAAGAUAUUCGUAUAUAUAAAAAUAAUGCGUAUGGCUUAUAUCAAUACAUAAUUAUCAAGAUUUUUUACUGACAUACAUUUAUAGUUUCACGGUUUAAAACAUAAUCUUAAUAUGAAUAAAUUCCUUGUUAAUGCAGUGUAUGAAAUUUGGUGUAUUUGCUGGUAUGUACCACCUGUAUUUAAUUCAUUUGUUACUGUCACUACCCAAUUCAAUUUGUAUACAAUACGUUCUGUUUUUGUUUUUUUUUUUUUAAUUUGAAGUUUUUAGUUCAACACUAUGUGGAUUACAGUUAUAAAACGCUGUUUAAUGGAAGAAAAUAAUACAUAAUUUCAAUAUUUCGUAUUGAGUGUUAUUAUUACGUACGCAUUGAUUGCUUUGGAAACUUUAGCCAAGAAAUGCGGCUUAAUGAUUACACAAGGCAAAAAAGGAAAACCGAAAUUAUUAUUCGCCGGCUUUGCAUACUUCCGAAAUAACAGUAAGGGCCCCAAAACUUAUUGGCUGUGCGCAAAAAAUCGCGACAAUCGUUGCCGUGCGCGAAUUAUCACUUGCGCUAAGACUGGUGCUUUGCUAAUCAAAAAUCAAAACCACAACCAUCCACCACUACCGCCGCUACCCGGCGCGGCAAAUAAUCGUAAAGAUUUCAAAAAAGAACUGUAAUGAUAUUAAUAAAAAAGUGUGGAAGCAUAUCACUGCGGAAUAGUGAAAGAUAUAUACAAUGAAAAAAAAACAACAAAUGAAUAAAGUGUAUUGCUUCUUUUUCAGUGCUAAAAUAA
rnacentral:misc_RNA from 1 species